rnacentral:lncRNA from 1 species
GAUCUAGGCUAAGGUGGAGUGUCUCGAACCCAACCUUCUCUCAUGAUUCUGUAUACUCCUUUAUGUUGGAGUUAGGUUGUUUAGACCCUGUUUGAGAGUUAGGUUGAUAGAACAUGAUAAUUGCUAGGAUGAUAGAUGAGUGAAUCAUGAUGCAUAAGAACCUCAUACUGUUAACGGGACUUGAUGAACUGAUCUAUGUUGUGGUUGAUGAGUGAUGCUUGUAUGUUUGGAUGUGUAGUCCCAUGUAUGGUUUGUGAAUAAAGCUAGGGUGCUAGAAAGAAUGAAUGCUAAGAUGAUAGAUGACUACUAAUUGCUAUUGAUAUUGUAAGUGAAACUUGAGUGCGAUGUGUAUUGUGUGUGACACCGAUAACGGGUGGCGUCUAGUGAUUGAGUCCAAGUACAAGUCUAAAUGAAAAGGGAAAGUAAAUGAAAAAUGGGAAGGGAUAAGUGUAAAUGAUAAGGAUGUGAAAGGGUAAGUGAAAGUAUAGAAGAAUAACGUUAAGGUUAAGCAUGGGUGGGAUCAUAUAGAGAGUCUAAGGAAAGUAUGUGGGGUAGUAGUUCACGCUAGGUAUCCAUAGGAGAUGUGGCCAAUCCACAAGAAUAUGGAAGCACCCAUAGGAGAUGUGGCCAAUCCACAAGAAUAUGGGGUAGAAGGCUAGUAGGGGCUACCCACUGAUGAUAAGUAUGUGGGGUAGUAGUUCACGCUAGGUAUCCAUAGAAGAUGUGGCCAAUCCACAUGAAUUUGGAAGCACCCAUAGGAGAUGUGGCCAAUCCACAAGAAUAUGGGGUAGAAGCCUAGUUGGGACUACCCACUGAUGAAAAGGACGAAAAGAUGAAAAGGAUGUGCAUUGUAGGGUCUUUAGCUCAUGGUCGGGUAACGGGGAGUUAAAGGUGUCAUAGGAUCGAGUCGGACUGGUACGAUGAGUCGGUUAAGUCUAGGGUUUGACGUGUGUGGCAAUGAGUGAGAUCAUUGUAUUGAUUGAUCACUAGGUUGUUAGAAAUGAAUGGAAGUGAAUGUGGAAAUUACAGAUGACGAUAGGAAAUGAUAAAAUGCAUUAACUGAUUGUAGUGGCUAGUCAGUCCUAGUUCCCGCAUAGAGUAGUAUAGAGUGUCAUGCGGGCAGGCUGGUCUAGAGCCACUUCACUGAGUAACUUGUUGCUCACCCCUCCAUUUGCCUUUUUUCAUGUGCGCAUGACUGUAAGUAGAAGAAUAUGGGUGUGGGUGUGGGUGUGACGGUAUUUCAAAGAAGGUUAUGCGCUCGUCUCUCGGGACCAGUAACGGGACACGUAGGGUUGUCUAAAUGAGUAGACACGUGUCCAUAACGCCCCUUCGAUAACCCCGGUCGGACGCCGGGGGAUCGGGCUGUUACAAUUGGUAUCAGAGCGGGUUAAGAUCCCUUAUUUCUGUCCUAAGGGAUCAGCAUUUCCGAUGUUUAAAAAAAAAAAAAAAAAAAAAAACAAACAUGUUUUCAUUAAAAGGAAAGAGUUUUUGGAAGUUUUGAUUCUCCUAAAAGUUCUGAAAACGAUUUCAAAACCACCCACUAUAUCUAUAAGUCUAUUAAAGUUUUGAUCAGAUCCAUUUUACUUGCAGAAUUUCUUUCUGAGCUUAAUUCAUUUAUUGGUUUUUAAAAAAAGAUUCCGAGCAAAGUUGUUCUCGCCUUGUGUGCCUCCCUUGUAUGAUGUGUGAUUGUGUGAGUUCCUUUUGUUAUCGGAUAUUAAGUUCGAAAGUCUAGGGCUUGGAAUUCGGGGACAAAUUCCGAUUAACAGGGGAGAAUUGUAGUGGCCCGGUUCCUGGCCCAAAAAAAUUUCUUAAGGAGAGCCCGUUAAGACUGUAGCCCAUUAGGGUAAAUGACCUAGGGUUCCCUCCUUUUCCUAUAAAUGAAGCUGCCUCCUCUCACUUUUCUCUCAUUUCUGAAACUUGAGCGAAGCUCUGCAGAGAUUUAGAGAGACUAGGAAACCCUAGCCGUCAAGCUUCUCUUUUUCCUUUUCUCUCUUCUUCUCUCGCGCCUCUCUCUCUCUCCCUCUCUUUUCUCAUUCCGUUGGACCUCUUCCUCUCUCCUUGCUGCGAGCCCCCGAGAGCAAGCCGAGCCGCCGGUGGUGGUGGUGAUCGUCCGAGUGUGGUGAUGGUGGUGGCUGUGUGGUGUUGUGGUGGUGACCAGAUCUCGUCUCUCUCUUGUUUACUUGUUCCAGAUCUGUUCAGAUCUCCUCUCCCUUGUCUCUUUUACCCAUAUCCGGAUCUAGAUCUAGGCUAAGGUGGAGUGUCUCGAACCCAACCUUCUCUCAUGAUUCUGUAUACUCCUUUAUGUUGGAGUUAGGUUGUUUAGACCCUGUUUGAGAGUUAGGUUGAUAGAACAUGAUAAUUGCUAGGAUGAUAGAUGAGUGAAUCAUGAUGCAUAAGAACCUCAUACUGUUAACGGGACUUGAUGAACUGAUCUAUGUUGUGGUUGAUGAGUGAUGCUUGUAUGUUUGGAUGUGUAGUCCCAUGUAUGGUUUGUGAAUAAAGCUAGGGUGCUAGAAAGAAUGAAUGCUAAGAUGAUAGAUGACUACUAAUUGCUAUUGAUAUUGUAAGUGAAACUUGAGUGCGAUGUGUAUUGUGUGUGACACCGAUAACGGGUGGCGUCUAGUGAUUGAGUCCAAGUACAAGUCUAAAUGAAAAGGGAAAGUAAAUGAAAAAUGGGAAGGGAUAAGUGUAAAUGAAAAGGAUGUGAAAGGAUAAGUGAAAGAAUAGAAGAAUAACGUUAAGGUUAAGCAUGGGUGGGAUCAUAUAGAGAGUCUAAGGAAAGUAUGUGGGGUAGUAGUUCACGCUAGGUAUCCAUAGGAGAUGUGGCCAAUCCACAAGAAUAUGGAAGCACCCAUAGGAGAUGUGGCCAAUCCACAAGAAUAUGGGGUAGAAGGCUAGUAGGGGCUACCCACUGAUGAUAAGUAUGUGGGGUAGUAGUUCACGCUAGGUAUCCAUAGGAGAUGUGGCCAAUCCACAUGAAUAUGGAAGCACCCAUAGGAGAUGUGGCCAAUCCACAAGAAUAUGGGGUAGAAGCCUAGUUGGGACUACCCACUGAUGAAAAGGACGAAAAGAUGAAAAGGAUGUGCAUUGUAGGGUCUUUAGCUCAUGGUCGGGUAACGGGGAGUUAAAGGUGUCAUAGGAUCGAGUCGGACUGGUAAGAUGAGUCGGUUAAGUCUAGGGUUUGACGUGUGUGGAAAUGAGUGAGAUCAUUGUAUUGAUUGAUCACUAGGUUGUUAGAAAUGAAUGGAAGUGAAUGUGGAAAUUACAGAUGACGAUAGGAAAUGAUAAAAUGCAUUAACUGAUUGUAGUGGCUAGUCAGUCCUAGUUCCCGCAUAGAGUAGUAUAGAGUGUCAUGCGGGCAGGCUGGUCUAGAGCCACUUCACUGAGUAACUUGUUGCUCACCCC